ACUGAACAGUGCUGUAUUGCUAAUACAAGACUUCUGUCGUUAUGGGAGCAACAUAUGGAUGAGGCCUUUUUUCUUGACAUACCAGAUGCCGCACUAGAAGCUUUAAAUUUUGACUUAUCAAGCGUUAUUCCUCAAGAAGAAAUGUUGAAGGGGAGCACGCUUAAAGGGGCCAAAAAAAUUUCCUUCAGAGGCAGCAGCCGUUGGAAGCAAGGGUAUUAAACCACGUUUGAACAGCCCUGCACGUCCAAAUCCCUUAUUACACAAGGCAAGCAACCUUAAAGAGGGCAAAAAAUUAUUCUCUGAGGCAGCAGCGUUGAAAGCAAGGGUAUUAAAUCCAUUGAUUUUGAACAACC